AACAAAAUUAAAGUGGACAUCAUUUGAUAAGUUAUUGAGCUAUUGAAAUGAAAAAUGACAGUCAAACUUGUGAGCAUCAAUAUUGUGUUGCCUUUCAUCAAGGGAGGUGACCAUUCUACAUUGAUCCAGUGCCUUUUUAUGGGAUUCGAAACUGUGACUGUGAGAUGUAUGAUAGUUUGGCUUCUAGGCGGGCAAUUCUACUUUCACUUUAAAUGGAUGGCAGGUGCCUGAGUCUACCUCAACCCAUUUCCAGGCUAGCAGUAGAUGUCAUGAUGAACCUUUAAAAUCUUUCACAUGUGUACUUUCAAGAAGCAUAUACAUUAUUUUUGAAAAUUGGUUGCCAUGGUAAUAAAGUCUGAAAAUUAAAACAUGGGCUCCUGAAGGCGAAUUUUCCUCCAUUUCCUGGUAGUUUGAGACCUUAAGAUCCAAAUCAAAUACAUGUUUGAAGUUAAAGCUACAAAUAGUUCAUAUCCAUUAAUAUACAUUGUAUACCAUUACAACUCUAGCAACAAGACUUAUGAUAAUAAAAUAUUUGCAUGUUUCAAGACUAAAAAGACUUGUUUUAAAACAAAUUUUAUUUCAACCUAGAAUACGGUAUUAGGUUUCU